ACGGAAGGCAGCAGUGGGGGAUAUUGCACAAUGGGGGAAACCCUGAUGCAGCGACGCCGCGUGAGUGAAGAAGUAUUUCGGUAUGUAAAGCUCUAUCAGCAGGGAAGAAAAUGACGGUACCUGACUAAGAAGCUCCGGCUAAAUACGUGCCAGCAGCCGUGGUAAUACGUAGGGGGCAAGCGUUAUCCGGAUUUACUGGGUGUAAAGGGAGCGCAGGCGGUUUUUUAAGUCUGAUGUGAAAGCCCGUGGCUCAACUGCGGGACUGCAUUGGAAACUGGAGAACUAGAGUGUCGGAGGGGCAAGUGGAAUUCCUAGUGUAGCGGUGAAAUGCGUAGAUAUUAGGAGGAACACCAGUGGCGAAGGCGGCUUGCUGGACGAUAACUGACGCUGAGGCACGAAAGCAUGGGUAUCAAACAGGAUUAGAUACCCUGGUA
rnacentral:rRNA from 1 species